rnacentral:lncRNA from 1 species
AUCCAACCUGACCCUUCCCUGGCACAAUGUGAGGCCGUCACCUCUUGUCCUGUCACCAUUAUUUGGGAGCAGAGGCCGACCCCACCUCACCACAGCCUCUUUUCAUUGCUGUAGGAGGAAUGAGGUCACCCUGAGCUCCUCUUCUCCACACUGACCCGUCCCAGCCCCCUCAGCCCAUAACACUCCAGAUCCCUCCCAGCCCAAUGACUGUUCUAUAGUGAGGGGCCCAAAGCUGAGCACAGAACCCACCAGCCAUCCAUCCUGCAUCCCAAGGCAGAGGCCUUGUUUGUGAAAAGAAAUUAAGGAUGUGUAUCAGUCUGGAAGGUACAAGGCCAGAAGACCAACCACCCUGUAACGCCAGGCAGCCCUAAGGUUCCUCCUUGCCCUAGGAUUGCCCCCUUGAAAGCAUGACUUCAAAUAAUAUUUCUAACCACAGAACAUCUUCUGAUAUGGCCGCCAGCUCUCUCUCAGAUCUCUGCACUCUACAGCUGAGGGAAUUUCUCAACCAGACACAGCAACUUCACAGUAAGUGUUUUUGCAGUCACUCUCCUCUAUAAACUCCUCCAUACGCUUUCAAACUCAGGUAAGCCUUUGUUAUCCAUAGUGGAUAAUAUGGCUGCUUCACAUAUAAUUUUGUGCCCUCUAAUUAUGUGUAGCUAAACUGUUAUGCAAUCCCCAGCCAGCCUGCCAAGGGGUGAAAUUCAUAAGAAGGAGGCAAGGGAAAAAAGUCUUAUAAACAUCUCUGUGGUAAGCUAAUCUUAUCUCAAAGUCUUUGUUCUUCAAGAUUACUUGGGGAAUUAAUAUUGUUCAUGUUUGUGCAAGAUAGAAAUGCUUGAAGUAAGGAGGGAAAAAGUGGAUUGCUAGAAGUACAGCUCAACAGAAGUAAGAAAAGGUCUGGAGUUCUGGAAGCUUUUUGUAUAGUUGCAGCUGCAAAUAAGACUUGUGGGGAUUGGCUUAGGAAAAUUGUAGAAUCACAGAAUGGCCCAAGUUGGAAGGGACCUCAAGGAUCAUGAAGCUCCAACCCCCCGCCACAUGCAGGGCCACCAACCUCCACAUUUCAUAGCAGCCCAGGCUGCCCAGGGCCCCAUCCAACCU